UAUCAACAGGGAACAUUUAGGUGGUGUUCAUGUUACACAUUAUUAGCAUUCGUGUCAGUCAAUGGAGAAGGAAUGGAUUAAAGCUGUCCAGCUGCAUUGGAGGGAUUCCACACCCUGGAGGGACAUCCAAAGAUGCAGAAGAGUGAGUAUGAUAAGACCCAUUUUUUAAAUUUUUUCCCUGUCAUCUGCUGAGCCCUUGGCAUUAUUGGCCUUGUUAGUCAGCUUUUCAUUACUCUGACAAAUACUGACAUAAAUCAAUUUAACAAGAGUAAAGGUUGAUUUUGGUUCAUCAUUUCAGAGGUUUCAGCCCAUGGUCGGUUGAUCUUUUGGAUUUUGCAGUACAUGGUGGCAGGAGUAAGUGGCAGAGGAAGCCUCUAACAUUGCCAAUCCAGGAAGCAAAAAAGAAAGAGGCUGGGGUCACAAUAUCCCCUUCAGUAGAAUGCUCCUAGAAGCCCCAAUUUUUUCAGUUAGUACUCCUUCAUAGUGCUACCACCAGGUCAUGAUGGCACCUCAGUAUGGUGACAAGACUGAAAUGGUGACAACACUUGGACCUUUGGGAGCACUUACCCAAACCACAGCAUUGUCACUGUCCAUAAUGGCACCCACAGACCACCAUUAGAAGACAGCACCUGCCAGAUCCUGCCAUUUUAAAAUAAUGACAACUCCCAAUUUGUUGUGCAUGGUUUUAUUUAGUUUUAUAUGUUAUACAAACAGUGAGAAAAACAUUGCAACACAUAGUGGAAUAUUCAUGAGAUGCUGAUGUUGAGGAGGGAGUGAACCCAGCAAAUGUGAGCCAAAGUCUGAGCUAAGACAUGUAUAUCACAUUUCUGCUUGUUAAUUUCAUUUAUGUGGUUUUUUCACAGUAAUACAAGUUUCUUUCCAUUUUUUCAGUGCAGUUCUUGUGUGAUAAGGAUGCAUUUGUGUUAUUUGUUGUGACCCAGGGUGGGGCUUCCCAAGCACAGACAGACCAGCAGUGCCAACCAAAGCAUGUCCUGGCACAUUCUCCUGGUGUGCGUGGCUGUGGUCCUCCCAGAGCCUGGACUGGUCCCCAGGGGGAUGUACAGCUGGGUGGGGGCCAGGAAGCAAAGAGGGACUCCGGCUGGUCUGAGUGGGCUGAUGAAUAGCUGACAGUAACCUGCACUUUGCUGUCCUACCCAACAGCUGACCUGGUGGGAAGGGCUCUGGCCCUGCCCCUCCAUCCUCCAGCCCUGCUUUCUGCCCUAGUGGGCUGCCCUUGUCUUAACUCAGUGGUGGCUUCUUGAAAACUAGGGCAUGUUUUCCAUCGUUCCUGACCGCAGGGAAGUUUGAGGGAUGCAGUGAGGAUUGGGGACCUCCACAGCAUCGUUGGGGGAAGAUUUCCUCUAGCUCCCUCUCACCUUCUGGGGUUGCAAACCCUCAGCUUCUUGGACACAAGUCACUAUGACUGGCAACAGUUAGAGAGAGAUGAAGGUUCUAUUCUUCAUUUCCCCAGAAGGUGCCUCUGGGUCCAGUUCUGCCCAUUUUGUGCCUUUCUAGAGAAGACUCUGUAAUCAGUAGUCAGCCUUCUGUAGGCUCAGCUUCUGCAUCCACAGACUCAACCACCCUCAGAUGGAAAUGUUUGAAAAAAUAUUCACUUCAUUACUGAAUACUUAAAGACUUUUUUCCUUGUCAUUUUUCCCUAAAAAAGACCUUGACAACCAUUUCAAAGCAUUUACAUCUUAAAGAAUCUCAGUUUGAUUUAAAGUAUCUGGAAGGAAGACUGUGGAGGUUACAUGCAAAUUCUACACAAUUUUUUAAGGGAGUAGAGCAUAUGGUGAUUUUGGUAUUCAAGGGGUUCUGUGACCUAUCCCACUUGGAUACUGAGAGGUAUGACUGGAGAUGACUAUUUGCUAAAACUUAGUGUCCUCUUGCUGCUCACUAUUGGGCAUUAAAGAGUUGGUAGCCAGGACCCCACCUGCUGUUGGCAGGGAUUGGAUGGUGUCCAGGAGGGAUCCACCUACAUCAGAAGUGAUGUGCAGCAGGGAGAAGCCAAGUUCAGCGUCCCUGUCCCCACUCCCUCUUACCCUCUGGCAGUCAUCCUCCUAAGUCACCAGCUCCCACAACUGGUGUGUCAUCUGGAAGAAUGUAUGUGAAGGAGCCCUAGCCUGCUGGAGGGUUCCAGAGAAGAUCCAGGUGUGGAUUUUGUUGUUGUUGUUCUAAUUAGUUGUAUAUGCCAGUAGAAUGCAUUUUGACACACUGUAUAUGAAUGCAGCACAACUUCUUAUUCCUCUGGCUGUACAUCAUGCAGGGUCACACCAGUAGUUGACUAUAUCCUACAUGUAUGUAGAGUAAUAAUGUCUGUCUCAUUCUACUGGAGGCGGCCUUUUAAUGGAGGGAACUGGGAUGAUCCACUAGGUAGUGAUGAGUGCAGAAUGGUGUUAGGGAGCACAGUGAGAUGGAAGGGUGGGGAGGAAAAAAGAGAAAUCCAACCUGCCAGCAUCUGAAGGCUCAGUCCAGAGGCAAAGACCUAUGGAUGUACAAGCAUGCAACACAUACCAACCUCACAGUCAGCGAUGGGCUGCAUAUAAGAUGGGGGUCCCCUGAGAGUAUACUGCCUGGUGACAUCAUAGCCUUCUUCCCCUGUACAAGUACACUCUAUAGUGAUCUCAGAGGACGAUAUCACCUACUGAUACAUUUCUCAUAAAGAGUCCCCAUUGUUAGGCCAUGCCUGACUAUGAAAUUAGAAAUAUAAGCACAUACAGAGAAAGACAUCCACAUGAUGUGAACGUUCCAUCUAACCGAGGCUUACCUUUUCUUUUUUAAUUAAUUUUUAAUUUGUUUUAAUUAGUUAUACAUGACAUUUAUGCACUUUGAUAUAUCAUACAUAGAUGGGAUAUAAUUUCUCAUUUUUCUGAGUAUAUAUUGCAGAAUCAUAUUAAUCAUGUAGUCACAUAUAUAAUACAGUAAUAAUGUCUGUUUCAUUCUACUGUCUUUCCUAUUCCUAUAUCCCCUCCACUCUCCUUUCUUCAUUUCCCUCUACCUAGUCUAAGGUAAUGAUGUUCUUCUCUAGUGCCCCCCACUUUAUUGUCAAUUAGCAUCCACAUGUUAGAAAAAACAUUUGGCCUUUGUAUUUUGAGGGAUUGUCUUAUUAUUGCCAUAAUUUCAGUCUUCUUUAAAGCAUGAUGGGGACAAUGUAUCUUCCGUUUCUUGAAAUGGGAGGCAAGGACACUAUAAGGCCAACCUGAAAGUUGGUAAGGUUGGCAGGAAACAUCAGGUAGAGUCCAGGAGUCUCUGAUUUGGUGGAGGGGUGAGAAGUGACGUGGCACAGUGCCCUGCAUCUGCCUCCAUCCCCACAGUGAUGCAGAGAGCAGAUGUCCGGCAACUAUCUGUUGAUUACAAAUCUGCAACACAUGGAUAGAAUGAUGAGUGGCUGCUGGGGCCAACCAGGACAAUGAGCGGGGACAGGAUUGAGGAAAAUAUUCUGGAACUAGACAAUGGUGAUGGUUAUACAACAUUGAACAUGCACUUAAUUGCAUUGAACUAAAUAUUUCAAAUGAGUAAACUACUAAAUUUUAUUUAAAAUUAAUCAUCAGCAAAUAAAAAAUAACCAAAACUAAUAGGAAAACAAGUGAAAUGGUAAGGGAGGUGAAGGGCUGCUCUGGGCAUAGCAGGUCCAAGGUGCAGCUCAGGAGCUGGCACUGGCUGUUGAGCCUCUAGUACCUGAGAUCUGGAGCUGGUGGUGAAGGAGUUUCUGGCAACGGCUCCUCUGGUUCUCAGGAUGGUGAUGGAGCUGGAGCUAGAGCUGCCACAAGUAUUGGAGGUCACUCUUAUGAGAGCAAAUUAAUAAUAUGUUUAUAAAAGAUACUUGUCACCCUUUUCUUUUUCAGUAGAGAAUUGUCACCCCGAAACACUAAAACAACCCAGUAGGAUCCAGAGCAGAAGCCAGAGGAGGAACACACAAACUGUCCAACUACCUCUGAUGAGCACAGGAGAGCAGAGACUCAAAUUAAUCAAUGUAUGGGGAGAAAGUCAGAACUGAUGCUGGAGCCAUGUUGGGGGAUCAUAGUGUUCUAGAGGAGAGAUUCCAGUGUGGCAUGCAGCGUAUUAGGAAGAGGGAGCUAUGUGAGUAAAUGCUCUUUUCCACAGAGUUUGCAAUGGGGCAAAAGGCAGGAAGUUUCAGGGUACUCAGUGGAGGAACUGGUUUAUGUUGAAAAGUAGAGAUGAAAAAAAACCCAAUGUCUCUAUAGCUGAGAGAGAUCAGAGAAGCCUAGGAAAAAGAAAUGUUUCUCAAAGUCAUGUUCCAGUUCUUCUUUGGUUCCAAGAGAAAGACUUCAAUGUGAAUUGGAUCCCUUUCAAUAUCCUAUGUAGAAACCUGAAAUUACAGAUAGAAUUGAACUCCAUGUACAAGCAGUGCAAACCACCACAGUUUACCUCAUGACCAGAUGGCUGUUUAGGAACUAAUGUGUGGGUCGACUACACGUCCUGCAUCAUAGGACAAAGGGAUGAUUCACGGCAUAGUCAUGAUAGAGAAUGAUGCUACCUAAUCUUAAUACCUGAUCAUUGUAUUAAGAAUUGUGAAAAAUUUAAAACUUACACAGUGGUUUUUUUUUCUGUAGUUUUAAAUUUACUGUUUUUGGACCACAUUUUAGUGAAACCACAGAAAUUGAAAUUUUUGAUAAGAGGGAACUACAAUAACAAACUGAAGUACACCAUAAGAUGAAUGUUGAUUUUGCUUUAUGGAAAACUAAGUUGGGCCUAUGAAAUAACAAAAUUCAAACACAUUUUGGCUUAAGGUGGAGCCAUCCUGUGAGGUAUGACAAGAAGACUUCCCAGGUCUAAGACCUAUUUGGUGAACAGAAUAAAGCACAGUGUGAACUGCUGGGAUUGGUCUUACCAGGUGACUACUGACCUUCAAUCCUCAACAUCUCACUUUCAGCGUUUGUUUGUUUUUAGAGAUGCAGGACAGUCAACUGUAUUUUGACAUACCAUACAUACUUGGGGUACAACCCAUUAUAAUUUUGAUCCCAUUCUUGUGGUUGAACAUGAUGUGGAGUUACACUGGUCGUGUAUUCGUAUAUUAGCAUGGGAAAGUAAUGUGUGCUUCAUUCUACUGCCUUUCCUUUCCCCAUCUCCCCUCUCUUCCCUUCAUUUCCCUUUGCCUAAUCCAGUGAACUUCUAUACUUCCUGUGCCUACUGUACCUGAUUAUGGGUUAGCAUCUACAUAACAGAGAGAAGCCUUGACCUUUAGAUUUUGGGGACUGGCUUACUUCACUUAGCAUGAUAUUCUCCAGUUCUAUCCAUUUACCAGCAGAUGCCAUAAUUUCAUACUUCUUUAUUGCUUAUUAAUAUUCCAUUGUGUAUAUAUACCGCAUAUUUAUUCAUUUAUCUGUUGAAUAGCACCUAGAUUGGCUCCAUAGUUUGGCUAUUGUGAACUGAUCUGCUAUAAACAUUGAUGUGACUGUGUCACUGUAGUAGUCUGAUUUUAAGUCCUUUGGGUAUAAGCCAAGAAGUGGAUAACUGGAUCAAAUGGUAGUUCCAUUUCAACUUUUCUAAGGAAUCUCCAUACUGCUUUCCAGAGUGGUUGCACCAAUUUGUAGUCCCUCCAGCAAUGUAUGAGUGUACUUGUUUUCCCACAUCCUUGCAAACAUUUGCUGUUACUUGUAUGGUUUUAGUUUAGUUUGCAUUUCUCUAAUUGCUAGAGAUGUUGAACAUUUUCUCAUAUUUUUUAUCUGAUCAUACUUCUUCUUUUGUGAAGUAUCUGUUUAGUUCCUUUGAUUAUUUCCUUUUUUUUUUUUUGAUACUGGGAAUUGAACUCAGGGGCACUCAACCACUGAGCCACAUCCCCAUACCUAUUUUAUAUUUUCUUUAAAGAUAGGGUCUCACUGAGUUGCUUAGCACCUUGCGGUUACUGAGGCUGGGCUUUGAACUUGUGAUCUUCCCAUCCCAGCCUCUCUAGCUGCUGGAUGCUUAUUUCUUCAUUGGGUUAUUUUUGUUGUUGUUGUUGUUGAGUUUGUUGAGUUCUUUAUGUAUCCUGGAGAAUAAUGCUGUAUUUGAGGUGCAGGUGCAAGUAAAGAGUUUUUCUGAUUUUGUAGGCUCUCUCUUCAUGUGCUUGAUUGUUUGCUUUGCUGUGAUGAAGGUUUUUAGUUUGAUUCCAUCCCAUUUAUUAAUUCUUGAUUUUACUCCUUGUGCUUUAGGAGUCUUGAUAAGGAACUCAGUUCCUAAGCUGACAUAGAUUUCAGUCUCCUUUUUUCUUCUAUUAGGUGUAGGGUCUCUGUUAUAAAGCCUAAGUCCUUGGCCCACUUUGAGUUGAGUUUUGUGCAGGGAGAGAGGAGUUUAAUUACAUCUUGCAUCAUAUGGAUUUCUAGUUUUCCCAACACCAUUUUUUGAAGAGGCUAUCUUUUCUCCAAUGUAUGUUUUUGGCACCUUUGUCUAGUAUGAGUAACUGUAUUCUGUGGGUUUGUCUCAGAAUGAGUGAAUCUAACUGUAUUUGGAAAAAGAUCCUUGCACAUGUAAUUAAGGAUCUCAAGAUGAGAUCAUGAUGAUCAUGCUGUAUUAUCUGAAUGGGCUCUAAAUCUAAUGUCAAGUGUCCCUUCAAGAAGAGGAGAGGACACAGAAUAAGGAGGAGGCUAUGUGAAGAUUGGAGGUGGAGUUUGGAGUGACACUGUCCUAAACCUGGGAAAACAUAGGGCCAUUAAAAAUUGAAAAAGAUCAGAAAGGAUUGUUGUUUAGAGACUAGAGGGAACAUGGCCCUGUGGCAUGUUGAGAUUUCUCACCUCCAGAACCAUGAGAAAAUAAAUUUCUCUGUUUUAAGCCACAAAAUUUCAGGUAAUUUUGCUACAGAGUUACAAAUACACAUAGUUAUAGAUUUUUGAAUAUGUUCUGUACCUACCUGGUAUGGAGUUCUUCACAGUGAUCUUUUGAAGGGUUAUUAUUAUUAUUAUUAUUAUUAUUAUUAUUAUUUUGAUGGGACUUGAGUAGAAAGGGUGAUGGAGGUGAAGGUAUUCUUGCUCAUUCAUUUACUAAAUGUGACUGUGCUUACUCUCAUCCCAAAGAGAACAAGGUGGGUGGCUCUGGGAGAUGAGGAUAUCCCCACUAAUUGCAUUUCAACCCCCUCAAGAUGCAGACAGAGAAAGAAGGCCAGGAAGGAAAAUGGCAUUUUCAAAGUCAGCAGGCAGGAGACUAGGCCUGUCCUUAGCUCUAUUCUACGUUAAAAUUUCACCUGUUUCCAUAUUUUAUCUCUACUUUUGUGCAUUACAGACAUUUGACAACAUCGUUUCUAAGUGUUAUGUCAGAUAUGCCUGGUGACAGUGCUAGGAAGUAGACACUGUGCAGGGGGACACUGGGCAAGCCUUAGAGACAUGAUGACUUGUCCAAGGUCACAUGAGAGGACAGGAGGAGGAGCAGGGUUGAAACCUAGAUGUGUCUCCUCAGAGCUGGGACCCUGGCUACACCCAUGCCUGCCAAGGGAUGUGGGGCUAGUGUUGGGGUUGGCUGUGUAAACAUAUGGCAAUGGCAUGGGGCUGGAGGAGAGCCAACAGAGGGACAAACAUGGGCUUAUCUGGAGGAUGGGUUAGGCCAGGAACCCCAAGACAUGGGCCCCCUUCCUUGGUCAUAGAGUCAAACAGAACUUGGAACCCAGUAACCAGGCACCCACAUUCUAGCAACAGCCUCCUCCCAGCUCAUUUGGUGAAAUACUUUGAAAGCCAAAACAUGUUGUCCUGCUUCCCCUGUGGAGGCCGACCCUUUAGGAGGCCACGUCGCCAGAGCUCCCCCUAUGGCUGCACGGCCCCUUCCCCAGACCCAAUCCACUGGACACCCAAAAGAAGAAACUUUUGGAAACAACUGCGAAGUUGCUUCAUGUGCUGCUGCCUGUGCCUCGCUGAUGGUCCUCCUCCAAUUGGCACACCUGAAAGUGGGAGGAGUAGCUUUAGGUCCACACCUGAUAGCCCUGGUGAGGUACAUCCAGGAGAGAACAUCACUGUGAGUAGCCCUGCAGAGUCCCACCACCUUGCUCCUCAGUAGGGGAGAACAGGGACCUGAGGCAGGAAAAGGUGGUGGGAGAUUGUGAGCCUCGUGUCCUAUCAUGGUCACCCCCAGGACAGGGAAAAAGGUGGGGAAUGAAAGUGUCCACGGUACGGCCUGGGCACCCAGUAUCAUUUCCUGUCUUACAGGGUAAAACCUGAGACACAGGGUCUGUAUUAGGUCGGGGGAGCAGAAGGCCACAAGAGACACAAACACCCUGAAUGGAGGCGAGCAGGGGCUGGGGCUCCCGGCCAGCUACCAGGCACUGUCUUCCAUUCUUUCCACAGUUUAUCCUCAAUAAGCACUGGAGCUGCAGCUUCAGCUCCAACCCCACGUCCACUGAGGAAUAUCCAGAGCCAAGCACCAAUGGGCAGGAGCUGGGCCUCAGGAUAAGUGCGGGACAGGGGGGACUCUACUGGCAGGGCACAGAGCAGAAUAAAAGUGAAUAAGAGCACAGACACCACCAGGACCACCUUCCUGAUAGGGAUGGGAGGUGGAGGGGCAGAGUCCCCACCGUGAGGAAUCUGAACAACAAAUCCUCACCCAUCCUCCUCACCCUCUCUGCCUGCCUCGUUCUUGGACUCAUCCAAGGUCACAAUUCCCAUAUUUGUGACAACAACAGAACAGCAACAGGGACAUUAUUUCAUUUUAAUUCUCUGAUGAUUUGUACUCUGCCACCCAACUGACUAUAACUCCUACACCCAGGUGUCCAGGUGACAAUGGCCUGACGGUCCUUCCACACUCUCUCCAAGUCUUACACAGCAUCAGGAUUACUAGGGCUGCGUUUAGCUGAAACAUCACAAGGCUCCUGCCAAUUGGUCCAUUUCUCUGGUACUUGCUGUCUCAAGGAACACAGACUGGGAAAGUAGAAGCUGAGCCCCCAGGACCUCACCACCUUCCAGGGGGACCCAGGUUCCACAGCCAUUCAGCCUUUCAGGGCUGUGGGACCUGGACCUCAUUCUGUCCUGGAGCCAUGUCAACAGCACCACAGAGAAUGAUGUCCUGGGUGUCCUUACACAGGGACCCUCCCGUCUGGGAUGAGCCCGUUUUCCCAUCUCCAGAAGGUGGUGUGCUGGUGGGACUCAGGGGAUAAGCUCCGAAUGCACAGAGCUGCCACCUCUGCUCAGAUAACACACUGGGGUGAAGCUGCUGUGUUUCUAACUAUCCCCUCAGCAAUUCCACUGUGAACUCUGCCAGCCAUUGCCCUGCUGGAGCUCUCCUGUCCCUCUGUGGGACAAGCCCCUAUGUGCUUUUGCUAUUGCACUGGACUCCACCCCCAGACACUUCUGGUGGGUCAGUUUGGCACUGACUCUGUUUCUUCAAUGUCCCAACCAAGAAGGUGGCUACAGAGGGGAUGACACCAGCAUUGGAUAUGUGUUCCAGGCGUACUCCCUGGGGGACCUGGAGGAGACCCUGGAGCCUGCCUUCUUCUAUGACUGUUUCUCUUCGGCCUCAAACAUCUCGAGUUCCUCCACCCAACAAGAGAUGGGCCAAAUGUUGGGAAGGUAAGCCCUGCCCAGGGUGACAGGGUCACAUACAGCUGUGAGUCCUGAUACUGGCCCUGUGACUCUCUGAGCUUCAGCCCUCUCCUCUGAACUGUGGGGUGCCAAGAUCACUGACCUCAUGGUAGGAAAGGCCAGGCCUCUCAUAGUGCUGCCCCCCCCAUCCCUCUUGGGUGGUCUCCUCACUCCCUCACUUGCAUUUGCCUCACUACCCACUUGGUAAUGUCCACAGCCAGGUCACUGUCACAGGCCCCGAGGAGGAGGACCAAGGACACCAGGUCCCAGCCUUGACAGAAAACCCUGAGCCCAUGGAGGAACAGGCCAAAGGUGAGGAGAACUGAGGUGGGGUAUGAGUAUGUCAGAAUGGGACAGGGAGGGACAAGCAGAGCUUACUGCACAGGAACUGGGGCGGGGCAGGAACAAUGAGAGGCAGAGCUGUCAUUGUCUUCAUACAUUCUGGGAACCCUGCCUGGUGCUGGGUUUGUGCGUGGAAUUGUAUGAAAGGCAGUAGGGAAUAUUCUGUCCCUGGACCUAACGUGGAUAGUCUGUNAGGCUGAAGGUGAGGAGGACUGAGGUGGGGUAUGAGUAUGUCACAAUGGGACAGGGAGGGACAAGCAGAGCAUACUGCACAGGAACUGGGGCGGGGCAGGAACAAUGAGAGGCAGAGCUGUCAUUGUCUUCAUACAUUCUGGGAACCCUGCCUGGUGCUGGGUUUGUGCGUGGAAUUGUAUGAAAGGCAGUAGGGAAUAUUCUGUCCCUGGACCUAACAUGGAUAGUCUGUGGACCUUUACUCCUCUAGCAGCUCUGGUGCUUGUGGAAGCUCCCGUUCGAGGUCCAACAUCUCCACCAUCUGAUAGAGAACUGGAGCUGGACGCACUUGCCUUGGACCAUCAAGGCCAACGUAUCCUGCUGGCCCUUCAGUCAGCACUGCAUCUAGAGAGGAACCCAGAGCCUCUGGUCUUGUCCCAGGCCAUUUGUUUAUUCAUUUUUAUUGUAUGUGUUUAUUAUUUUAUUUAAAAGUAAAGAUUUGUUUUCAUUGUUAAAAGUCUCAGUCAUUUGCCAUCAAGUGCCUUCUCUAUACUGUACAUUAGUCAGCACAAUGUAGUUCCAGAAUGUCUUCUGGAAUUCAGUAUCCAUGACCACUG
rnacentral:lncRNA from 1 species